CCUACGGGAGGCAGCAGUGAGGAAUAUUGGUCAAUGGGCGGAAGCCUGAACCAGCCAAGUAGCGUGCAGGAUGACGGCCCUACGGGUUGUAAACUGUUUUUAUACGGGAAUAACGCGCCUUACGUGUAGGGCUUUGCAUGUACCGUAUGAAUAAGGACCGGCUAAUUCCGUGCCAGCAGCCGCGGUAAUACGGAAGGUCCGGGUGUUAUCCGGAUUUAGUGGGUUUAACGGGAGCGUAGUCCGCAUGGCAAGCUUGCUGUGAAAUGUCCGGGCUCAACCCGGGCCUUGCAGCGCAAACUGGCGUGCUUGAGUCCACGAAAAGCAGGCGGAAUUCGUAGUGUAGCGGUGAAAUGCUUAGAUAUGACGAAGAACCCCGAUUGCGAAGGCAGCUUGCUGCAGCGGAACUGACGCUGAUGCUCGAAAGCGCGGGUAUCGAACAGGAUUAGAUACCCGAGUAGUC
rnacentral:rRNA from 1 species